UAGAAUUUGGCCAGGAAUGCACCCACCACAUCUAGGGACCUACAGCUCCUUGAGGGGUGGAGACCAUGCAGCUGACCUGCACACAGUUUUCUAUAAUUCGCACUGGGCGUUCACAAGACUGUUGGCAAGAUUGGUAAUUUCUUCCAUAAUUGAACGAUUCAGCCACACAAGCAUUGCGUGUAUCUGCUACAGUGCGCAGUUGUCAUAUUUAUCAGACCAACAUGGCGUCCUUGAGCUUAAAUUGACCUUAUCCCUGAGGAGUCUUCUGAUAAUCUGAGAAUCUCAACACGGCCAACAAUUCCUUCAACAUGUGAAAGGACAGGUCAGGCCUUCUGAGAAUCACCAGGAGCUGACAAGUGACCGACUGCCCUUUUAGGCGAGCACAGAUAAUGCUACCAUGGCCCUUCCCUUUUGUCGAACGACAAGGAAAUGCUUCCCUGCACAUAGGAGAUGGGAAAAGAUGUGGUUCACUCAAAAGACACCUUCACUUCAGGCUCCAGGAUACGGACGAGGAGACAAUGAAGAAGUACCCAAGGGCCCUGUCCAAGGUCAUGGGCAGCUCGCAAGCCCAGGCCACUAAGCCAUCCAUUCCUCUGCUCACUACCUGGCAGUAUCAACCUGGGGGACCACACAGAUCAUUCUGAGCAGAGCACAGCCCACCAGCUGCCUGGAUAUUUGACAGUGCCUCUCAGGGAGGGCUGACUCUGCUAGCAAGCCUUCCAUACCAUACCCAGGCAGGAAAACCAAUGCACAGGAGGAUGUGCAGGAAUAGCCCAGCGAAAAUUCCAGGGAAAGCCUUGAGCAGAUUCUAAGAGUGGGAAGAAAAUUGCCCAGAGCCAAGGUCUGUCCCUCGGAGAAGGAAGCAGGACAUUCCCAAUGGGGGUGCUAAAUAAAGGAUAAAUGGAAGGAAUGCCUAGUUUGGGGAAGGGAGGGUGUUUGAGGUUGAAGCCAGGGGAGAUUGGGAUCAAUGUAAACCCCCUGCCACUGGUCCUCAUUCUACA